GUAGCCUUGCGCACUUGAGGUUCGCCGACCUGCCAUUACCGGCAGCGGCGCUAAGAAGGGAAUGUGGUUCAAGCCACAGCUGCCCCCGCAACUGUAAACGGUCAUGUUCAUUGCACAGCCACUGCGCGAGCGGGAAGGCGCGAUGAAUGCGAUUGGCCUGACGAAACCGUCAGUGCGAUUCGCUACCGUAAGCCAGGAGACCUGCCUCGAACAAUGGCCUGCC
rnacentral:ncRNA from 2 species